rnacentral:rRNA from 1 species
AACGUAGGACACAAGCGUUAUCCGGAGUUACUGGGCGUAAAGGGCGUGUAGGCGGACCUAUAAGUCUAUUCUGAAAGCUCCUGGCUAAACUGGGAGAGGCGAAUGGAGACUGUAGAUCUAGAGUGAGGAAGAGGAAAGUGGAAUUCCGCGUGUAGUGGUGAAAUGCGUAGAUAUUGGAAAGACCACCAAUGGCGAAGGCACUCUACUGGGCCAU